rnacentral:tRNA from 1 species
GGACAGAUGGCCGAGCGGUCUAAGGCGCGUGACUCAAGAAUUUCGAUACUUCGAUUCUUCUGGUCGAUUACAACGCCUAGUGCAUUCACGUAUCGAAAGAUUCGGGGGUUCGAAUCCCCCUCUGUUCA